GCUAAGAUAAAGGCCUACUGUGUAAGUUUCCUUACACACCUUAGAAUCAAGAAGGCCUCAUGACCCCCUGUGAAGCUUUGGCAACCCAUAGCGGGGGUCCUGAGCCCCAGGUUGGGAACCACUGCCUUAAACAAUUCCAGGAGACAACCGGACAGUAGACAUCUUGUUUUGAUGGAAAACACUCGAUGGAGCGUGUGCUCUCACUCAGGAAGAGAACAUUGUUGCACCAUAUUGGAUCAACUGUCCGGCCAGAAUAUUGUCAUACAAGAUUGUGUACAGAAAUCAAUCUGAAAGAUGUUAAAGUUGUGUAUUGUGUCAUCAUAAUAAAGUCUUUCUUGGGUUGCUUUUACUGUGUCUACAGGUCUUUGAUAAGUGAAUAUUUAUUUGUUAAUAUUUAUUAAUACUGGUCUUGGCAGGUAUUUUAAACAAUACACAGGUACUAUAUAUUUCCACAUUACAUUUGUAUGUUUUAUUGACUUUCAACUGUAUCCAGGCUAUAAUGAGGGCCUGACACAUUCAUUUGUUUGAUCUGUUGUUCAUUUUUACAUAAUAUUUUCCGAAGAAGAGGCCUGCAUCGCAAAUUCCCCUAGAACAUGUACCUUUAAUGGUUUUGUGUGUUCAUACGUUAAGCAAUAAGGCA